AAGUCGUAACAAGGUUUCCGUAGGUGAACCUGCGGAAGGAUCAUUAACACGUAUCUUGCAACCCGCGAAGCUUGCAAUCUCUGGUAAAUCAUAGCCCGAAAGUAGUUUUGAUUCAGAGACCUCUGGCCCGUGAGAAUAUUGGAACAGUUGCAAUUUUGAGCGGUAGUUCUGUAGGCCUUGUUUCCCCAAACAGUCAGUGUCUGAAAGUUCAUUGAUUGUGCACGGAUAACGCUUCACGAUUCUUGUAGACCGCAGGUAGGCCAAAGAGUCCCCAUACCCCCUUACAACCCCACAGUUGCUCAAUGUAAUACAUUGGGUAAAAAAACCGAACAACUGUUAACAAUGGAUAUCUUGGUUCUC
rnacentral:misc_RNA from 1 species